GAAGGUAUAGUUCAAGUGGCAGAGCACAAGCUUAGCAUCCAUGAGGCCCUAGGUUCAGUCCCCAGUACUUUCA
rnacentral:tRNA from 1 species